GAGGGGGGGGACCCGAUCUUCGCUCUGUGAAAGGAGGCAGGGAGUGGCCGUGGCGCUGUUGAGAAGCAGGGGCUGCCAAGCCGCUGUCCGCCGGGAAGCGGCGAUUCUGCCACCCAGAGGUCUGGGGAAAGCUCAGGAAGAGAGACUUCGAAUAGAUGACUUUGAAGACUUACAGAGCUGAGAUAUGAAGAUUUUGAAGUCAUUCUAUAUCUGAAGCUGAUUAAUAUCAGCAUUACAAAUUUGAAAGUAGUGUUCAUUGAAAGGAGACACAAAGAAAUUACGUGAGGACAUCCAAAGCCGUGUUUCGUUUAUUUUUUAAUUAGAAAAAUAAGGAAUCACAGUGUGAUUUUUUUUCCCCCCUUUAACUUAGAGGAACAACGAUUAAACAGAAAUUUGAAGAGACCUGUAGCUGUGGGCCCCUUGACAUUUAAAUCUCCAUCAUGGAGAGCUCACCACGAAGUAGAAAAAUCUCAGCAGCGAGAGACUGAACAGCACCUGGGCA
rnacentral:lncRNA from 1 species